rnacentral:rRNA from 1 species
UGGGGAAUCUUGGACAAUGGGCGCAAGCCUGAUCCAGCCAUGCCGCGUGAGUGAAGAAGGCCUUCGGGUUGUAAAGCUCUUUCGGCGGGGACGAAACGGUUCGUGACAACACCACGGACUAAUGACGGUACCCGCAUAAGAAGCACCGGCUAACUACGUGCCAGCAGCCGCGGUAAUACGUAGGGUGCAGGCGUUAAUCGGAAUUACUGGGCGUAAAGCGUGCGCAGGCGGUUUGUUAAGACAGGUGUGAAAUCCCCGGGCUUAACCUGGGAAUUGCGCUUGUAACUGGCAGGCUAGAGUGUGGCAGAGGGGGGUGGAAUUCCACGUGUAGCAGUGAAAUGCGUAGAUAUGUGGAGGAACACCGAUGGCGAAGGCAGCCCCCUGGGUUAACACUGACGCUCAUGCACGAAAGCGUGGGGAGCAAACAGGAUUAGAUACCCACGUAGUCCCUGAGCGGGCUGGCAAGGCGCAU